rnacentral:pre_miRNA from 1 species
ACCCGUAGAUCCGAACUUGUGGAGUUUCACCACAGGCUCGUUUCUACGGAUCA